rnacentral:rRNA from 1 species
UACAGAGGUCUCAAGCGUUGUUCGGAUUCAUUGGGCGUAAAGGGUGCGUAGGCGGUGAUGUAAGUCAGGUGUGAAAUCUCGGGGCUCAACCUCGAAACUGCACUUGAUACUGCAUUGCUUGAGGACUGGAGAGGAGACUGGAAUUUAUGGUGUAGCAGUGAAAUGCGUAGAUAUCAUAAGGAAGGCCAGUGGCGAAGGCGGGUCUCUGGACAGUUCCUGACGCUGAGGCACGAAGGCCAGGGGAGCAAACGGG